GCAUUUAUGGCUGAGGGGUUGAAAGCAAUGGACUCAUAAUUCAUUUUUAAUAUAAAAUAAACACCAAUGGUUCGAAUCCAUUUAAAUGCA
rnacentral:tRNA from 1 species